GGACCUCUUUUAAUGCUCAGUGACAGAGCAUCUGCCUGGCAUGCAGAAGAACCAGGGUUCAAUACCUGGCAACUCCA